rnacentral:piRNA from 1 species
CACCGACUAUAAGAUGCUUAGCGCAGGGC